AGAUUUAUAGAUCAGCUAGAUAGAGCAUCCCUAUUUUCAAUCGGGACGGUCGAAGGUUCGAAUCCUUCUGCGCUUA
rnacentral:tRNA from 1 species